ACUUCCAAGCCACCAUGGCUACAAGGCUCCUCUGUUACACAGUACUUUGUCUCCUGGGAGCAAGAAUUUUGAAUUCAAAAGUCAUUCAGACUCCAAGCUAUCUGGUGAAAGGGCAAGGACAAAAAGCAAAGAUGAGGUAUAUCCCUGAAAAGGGACAUCCAGUUGUAUUCUGGUAUCAACAAAAUAAGAACAAUGAGUUUAAAUUUUUGAUUAACUUUCAGAACCAAGAAGUUCUUCAGCAAAUAGACAUGGCUGAAAAACGAUUCUCUGCUGAGUGUCCUUCAAACUCACCUUGCAGCCUAGAAAUUCAGUCCUCUGAGGCAGGAGACUCGGCACUGUACCUCUGUGCCAGCAGUCCAGACACCCAGUACUUUGGACCAGGCACUCGGCUCCUCGUGUUAGAGGAUCUGAGAAAUGUGACUCCACCCAAGGUCUCCUUGUUUGAGCCAUCAAAAGCAGAGAUCGCAGACAAACAAAAGGCUACNCUNGUGUGCUUGGCCAGGGGCUUCUUCCCUGACCACGUGGAGCUGAGCUGGUGGGUGAAUGGCAAGGAGGUCCACAGUGGGGUCAGCACGGACCCUCAAGCCUACAAGGAGAGCAAUUAUAGCUACUGCCUGAGCAGCCGCCUGAGGGUCUCUGCUACCUUCUGGCACAAUCCUCGCAACCACUUCCGUUGCCAAGUGCAGUUCCAUGGGCUUGAAGAGGAGGACAAGUGGCCAGAGGGCUCACCCAAACCUGUCACACAGAACAUCAGUGCAGAGGCCUGGGGCCGAGCAGACUGUGGGAUCACCUCAGCAUCCUAUCAUCAGGGGGUUCUGUCUGCCACCAUCCUCUAUGAGAUCCUACUGGGGAAGGCCACCCUAUAUGCUGUGCUGGUCAGUGCCCUGGUGCUGAUGGCCAUGGUCAAGAAAAAAAAUUCCUGAUACAAACUUUUAUGCAUCCUGAGCUGUUCUUCACCCUGGCCACAGAUUUUCCUGUGCCUUCUCUAAUUCCUGUUCCUAAGAACUUGUUUCUUCUUCCUCCAUGGAUAUCCAUCCUUCCUCAUUGACACCUUGACUCUGAAACAGACUAAAUCAAUAAAAACAUGGAGUUUAGCCUG